CCUGCAGUGCAGAAUCUGUGCCCGGAGGCUGGGCGAUGUGGGCAGGGGCCUGAUCCCCGCCAGCUCUCACUCCUGCCUCAAGGGAGCGAGUCGCUUCCAAGCCCCAGUGCCCAAGGCCAAGCGCAGAGGGGUGAGAGGUGGGCGUUGAGACAAGGAUUUCUGCGGGAGAGAAAGGCUGAGGGAAGGCGGAAGUGCAGGCCGCGCCAGCUGCAUCCCAUCUGCCCUGGGCAGCCGGCCAGGCAAGGCCUCACAGAGGAGCUGGUCAGAGGCUUCCGUCUUUCUGUCUGCACCCAUUGGGAGCCAGCUCUGCCCUGGUGCCAUCCAGGAACCCUGAGGACUGAUCUCUCCAACCUUGGUGGUAGGGACUCGAAUCUCCCCAGGCUCCAUGUGUCUUGGGGGCUGGUGCCCACUGGGCAGCGCUGCCACCUGGAGAGUUCCAGGCCCUGCAGUAGGAAUGCAGGGGAGAUGCAGGGCUCCUGGGUGGGCAUCGGGGCACCCAGGCCCCUCACGGACUCCAGCGGCCACCCCAGCCUCUGCCCUCCUCCCUCCUCUAGUACCUUCCCUUCCACGAGGAGGUUCUUCCCCACUCAAAACUCUGAUCUUCCUUGUACCCAAGGAUUCUGGAGGGUUCAGCCUCUUUCUCGCUUUGUGUCCCGCAUUCGAGGGCAGGCAAGAGGCUUGAAAGGAAAACUAAAUAUGGCAAAACCAUGGCUGGAGAUUUUGGGAAGCUGGAAAGCAGGGAGACGAGAGGGACCACCAUCCCGGAGGAGGGAGGAGUUGCGGCCCUGAGCUGCGGACACUCUAGUCUGAAGGGGACAGAGUCCUUGCCAGGGAGCCGCCCCUACUCUGCGGAGGGAGUAGUCUUCUGGAACCUGGAGAGAGCGUCUAUACAUCCUGUCCUCUCCCCUCCCCUCCCUUUCCUCUUCUCUCUUCUCCUCUGCUCCUUUCUUCUCUGCUCCAUCACAGCCAAGCCCAUGGCCUUGGAGACCCCGGGGUGCAACGGGAUCCCCAAAUAGGAGUGUUUUGCACCUGGGGUUCCCAUUACACAUUGUAGGCUGGGAGGUGGGCUUCGGAAGUGGAAGGCAGCUCGGACGUUAACUCCAGCUGGGGGAACUGAGGCCCACCAGCACACUGCAUGCUCCAGGGCUGGGGGUGGUGCAGAGAGGGGCUACAGAGCGGGUCCCCGGGGAGAGGGCGGUGGGCAGGCGGCAGGUGGCAGGGUUCUCCCUGGGUCAUGACAGGGCCCCUCCAGGCCCACUUCUCAGCCCUGCCCCCACGCCCUGGGGGGGGGCCAGGUUCGCGGGCAGCCCAGCGGGUGCCCAGGAGGGGGGCUGGGGCUCGGAGGAAGUGCUGAGUCGGCACUCAGAGCCUCCGCCGCCUCUCCUGCUCCAUUACUCAUCCCGAAGGGGCCGCCCUCCCUCUGCCCACCCAGGCCCGGCUCAGAAAUGCCCCCACCUCCCCUCCCCGGCGCUCCCCCCUCAGCUGGAAACUCUUAAGCAAAAAGGUCGUCAAGAUGAUUAAAUGCGAACAGAUUUUCAGCUCUUUUUCCA
rnacentral:lncRNA from 1 species